GCCAGUGCUAUACCUCCCUUGUUUCUCAAUUAUCUGUGUUUCCUAGCCCCCUGAGGCGUCCCCCGUGGCUGUACCUUUGUGUCCGUCUACCUGAGUGUACCUGGCGCCUAGCACUCCCCUGGGAAUCCACCCCGCGGCCUGGAAAUAAGGGAAUGCAAGGCUCUCGGGACAAAGGGACACAGAGACUAAGGGUGCAAAUGUGACGAGAAACAGUUGUGACGCGCCGGACAGAACCAGCCCAGCCCAGCACCACCACUAAGGUAAAUUCCCCACAUUUCACUAACCUUUAAUUCUGUAAUCCGGCAAAUUCUGUAAUCCGGAAUUAUUUUAACCCCUUCAGUACUGGGUCGCAUUUUUACCUUGAGAUUUGUGUACGAUUAGGCCAUUUUAUUGACAUUAGGAAG